rnacentral:lncRNA from 1 species
CAUGCGCUACUUCCACCGUCUCCGCAACAAGUUCUACCGCCCCACCGUCGACCGUCUCUGGUCCCUUGGCCCCGACGGCGUUAAGGAUCCCGUCAUGACUUGUGACGUCUAUUCUGCCCUCUUGACCGGUAUUGCCCCGCCUUACUGCUCCGAAAUUCGCAGGCAGAAUAGCUUCUACAACAGCCCCCGAUAUUAAACCCCUGUUGUUGAAGGAAUUCUUCCUUGGGCCCCCUCUGGGAUGAUGGAGAUUCUCACCGACCGUCGUCCUCCUCCUCACCUUCCUCCGAACCCUAACAAUCCCCUCAAGAACAGCCUCCAGAGUUGAGGACAUGGUGUGGAAACCCUCAGAGAAGGAUUGAUGGGCAAAAGGCAGCGGGAAUUGGCACGAGGGGAGCAAGACUCUCAGGGGAAAAGAAGAACGCCAGGAUGAGACCGUGAAUGUAUCGAAGGGUUUAAAUAGCCGGCGGAUCCUGGCGCAGUUAUGACGGCGAGAAUUCCUGGGCCAGAUGGUGUGUGCCGCGUGUCAUGCUUAUCCGCUUCGCUGCUAUCGAGGGUUGACCGCUCACAGAUUCCCACAGAGCGACGCCUGGGAUCGUGUUUCAACGGGGGUUUCGAAAAGACUUUUCAAGUCACCUUUGCCAAAAAACGGAUUCUGACAUGCGCACAUUAAGUGGGGGCAGCUGCGCACAGGGAUCGAGGGGGCAAUUUCGGCUGUGCAUCUCUCUCUUUGUGUACUUCCUUCGCUUGAAAUUCAAACUUGGAAGUAGGGGGACUGGUGUUGGGUAUGAAAUACCCGCGGUGUUGGGUAUGAAAUACCCG